rnacentral:rRNA from 1 species
CAUAGGUUAAUGAGGCGAACCGGGGGAACUGAAACAUCUAAGUACCCCGAGGAAAAGAAAUCAACCGAGAUUCCCCCAGUAGCGGCGAGCGAACGGGGAGCAGCCCAGAGCCUGAAUCAGUGUGUGUGUUAGUGGAAGCGUCUGGAAAGGCGCGCGAUACAGGGUGACAGCCCCGUACACAAAAAUGCACAUGCUGUGAGCUCGAUGAGUAGGGCGGGACACGUGGUAUCCUGUCUGAAUAUGGGGGGACCAUCCUCCAAGGCUAAAUACUCCUGACUGACCGAUAGUGAACCAGUACCGUGAGGGAAAGGCGAAAAGAACCCCGGCGAGGGGAGUGAAAAAGAACCUGAAACCGUGUACGUACAAGCAGUGGGAGCACGCUUAGGCGUGUGACUGCGUACCUUUUGUAUAAUGGGUCAGCGACUUAUAUUCUGUAGCAAGGUUAACCGAAUAGGGGAGCCGAAGGGAAACCGAGUCUUAACUGGGCGUUAAGUUGCAGGGUAUAGACCCGAAACCCGGUGAUCUAGCCAUGGGCAGGUUGAAGGUUGGGUAACACUAACUGGAGGACCGAACCGACUAAUGUUGAAAAAUUAGCGGAUGACUUGUGGCUGGGGGUGAAAGGCCAAUCAAACCGGGAGAUAGCUGGUUCUCCCCGAAAGCUAUUUAGGUAGCGCCUCGUGAAUUCAUCUCCGGGGGUAGAGCACUGUUUCGGCAAGGGGGUCAUCCCGACUUACCAACCCGAUGCAAACUGCGAAUACCGGAGAAUGUUAUCACGGGAGACACACGGCGGGUGCUAACGUCCGUCGUGAAGAGGGAAACAACCCAGACCGCCAGCUAAGGUCCCAAAGUCAUGGUUAAGUGGGAAACGAUGUGGGAAGGCCCAGACAGCCAGGAUGUUGGCUUAGAAGCAGCCAUCAUUUAAAGAAAGCGUAAUAGCUCACUGGUCGAGUCGGCCUGCGCGGAAGAUGUAACGGGGCUAAACCAUGCACCGAAGCUGCGGCAGCGACGCUUAUGCGUUGUUGGGUAGGGGAGCGUUCUGUAAGCCUGUGA